UUAAGUUCAGCGGGUAGUCCUACCUGAUCUGAGGUCAAACGACAUAAAGUAUUGUCCGCAAGGACGGUUAGAAGCAAUCUCGACUUGAUUAUAACAAUGCUCUUUUUUUAUCACAUUGUGUGUGAUCGAAGGCAGAUCGCUAAUGCAUUUAGGAUGAGUCGUGAAAUCACGACAGCACCCAAAUCAAUUUCAAAACAAAA
rnacentral:misc_RNA from 1 species